GUUACCUGGCUGGAGGUGGAGGCAGCAGCCGAGAGAGACGGCACAGGAUCCCCCAGAAGUGCCCGCGGCGGCUUCCCUUCUGGAAUGGAGCCCUGGACGGGGGUGGAGGCGCCGCCUUUGGGAUGUUCAGUUGGCUCUGGCUUGUGCCGGUCUUCCCCUCAUCUCUCCCUCCUCUUUCUGACACAUCAAACCAUCUGGGUUUCAAGUAAUAACACCUGCAAUCAUGCUGAGCAACAGAAACUCCUUCACCUUCUGAGGAUCCCUGGAAUCUGGUAUUAAAGAUGUCCGAGCAUCGAAAAGACCCAGCCAAAUCUUCCUGCAAACCUAAAGGAAUGAAGUCAGGUGACAGAGGAAAUGGGGCAGAAAGCGUGAAAUGGGAGUCAUACCAUUUCCAGCUCAUUCAUCAAUAGACAUUUAUCGCGCAUGGACACGAUGUGAGGACCUGGGUGCACCUACAAAACAGACAUGAUGCCUGUCCUUGCAAAGUGGAUCAUCUAACGGGGAGGUCAUGCCUUAGAUAAAUAAAAAUACAUUUAUAAUGACACACUGUGACACAUCUUGUGAAAGAAAACAGAGGGCCAUGAGAACUAAGGGGGACUAAAUUUGGAUGGGGGUGGGGUCAGGAGCAAUUUUCAGAACUGUGGCUUCCAGAACACCCCCUACAGGCCCUUGUUCGCACCCUCCAAGUAAGUCCGUCACCCAUA